rnacentral:misc_RNA from 1 species
GGGUGGGAUAGAUAGAAAAGGUACAAAUUUUACAAAUAAUUCCUAUUGAUAAUAGUCACAAUUAAAUUUUCUUGCUCUAUAUACAACUCUAGUUUUGUUCACACGUAAGAUUUUCUUGCUGUUUUCCUUUAGUAAUAGCAAAGGGAUACAAAAUUGUAAGGGGAUGGGCCUUGAUAAAAGCAAUAUUCAGGACAAAAAAUGUAAAAGUUCCAGAAAUGAGAAAAACUUUUACUUGUCUUGCUUUUGGAAACGGCUAUAAAAACCCUGAAAUGGUUUGAAUUCUUCUUGCCAUUUUGAGAAAUGCCUUUUCAACAAAUUAUAAGCUUUCAAUUCUUGUGAACUGAAGUCCAUAGCAGCAGCAUCAAACUUCAAUUGAAUGGGGCACAGAUCAUCAAAGAGUUCUUGUCUGACAUUUUCUACCUCAUUGUUGUGGAUGGACUCUUUCUCAUGCACUUUUGAAAUCAAGUAAGCAAAUCUGCCAUCCUUAUGAACACAGUUGCUCUCUCUAUAGACCUCAGUAGAGCAGUGUACUGCAAUGGGACAGUGUAAAAAGAAUGACUUUGGUUUUUCAGAAUCAAACCAGAUGUUAUCUCUGUCAUUGGCAAGGGAGACAGCAUCUUCAUCAUCAGGCUCAACUGUAGAAUCUGGCAUGGCCAUUUCCCUUGCCACUUGCAUUACUUCAC